rnacentral:rRNA from 1 species
ACAUGCUUACAACAUAGCGUUAAUGCAUCGGAUGCCAUUAGAACUUUGUAGUUAACUGCACUCGGGAUAUAGUAGUACUGGGAUGGGUGACUACCCAGGAUGUCCUAGUUUUUUACAUGCC